rnacentral:rRNA from 1 species
UACGAAGGUCCCAAGCGUUGUUCGGAAUCACUGGGCGUAAAGGGAGCGUAGGCUGUGAGGUAAGAUCGGGUGUGAAAUCCCGGGGCUCAACCCCGGAACUGCACUCGAUACUGCUUUACUUAGAGGGACUGGAGAAGGAGAUUGGAAUUCUCGGGUGUAGCAGUGAAAUGCGUAGAUAUCGAGAGGACACCUGUGGCGAAAGCGAAUCUCUGGGACAGUUCCUGACGCUGAGGCUACGAAGGCUAGGGUAGCGAAAGGG